UUGCUUUUUGCUGACGAGUGGCGAACGGGUGCGUAACGCGUAUGCAACCUACCUUCUUCUGAGGAAUAGCCCAGAGAAAUUUGGAUUAAAACCUCAUGAUAAUAUUUAUUCGCAUGUUUAAAUAUUUAAAAUUUCGAUGGAAGAAGAUGGGCAUGCGUAACAUUAGUUUGUUGGUGAGGUAAUGGCUCACCAAGACUACGAUGUUUAGGGGGUCUGAGAGGAUGAUCCCCCACACUGGUACUGAGACACGGACCAGACUCCUACGGGAGGCAGCAGUGAGGAAUAUUGGUCAAUGGACGAAAGUCUGAACCAGCCAUGCCGCGUGAAGGAUGACUGCCCUACGGGUUGUAAACUUCUUUUGUAUAGGAAGAAACCCCUCUACGUGUAGAGGGUUGACGGUACUAUUCGAAUAAGCACCGGCUAACUCCGUGCCAGCAGCCGCGGUAAUACGGAGGGUGCGAGCGUUAUCCGGAAUUAUUGGGUUUAAAGGGUGCGUAGGCGG
rnacentral:rRNA from 1 species